GUCAGAGCGAAGCACUGCGGAAGAUCAUCAUGGAUGCCUUGCAUUUACUGGAGAAGCAGAAGGACAAGAGUGAGCAGGGAUGUGUGUGCGGAUGAGACGUAUAGGAGGAAGCCAUCCAAAUGAUUUGGGUGAAGCUGGGCCAGUUGGAGCAAGGUAUGAGGCCAGCAGGGACCCCCGUCCAGGACUCUUGCCCAAGUGAACCCUGGGACUCCACCCGCCCAGCUUCCCCACCCGGGGCACGCAGACGCCCUCCUGGACAUUUACACCCCAGAGAUCCCCACUCUGGGCACCCCUUUCCUGGAGACACCCCCAGGGACCUCAUGCCAGGGCUGGACGGGG
ensembl:lncRNA